UGAUAGUGUGACCCUCUUAAUGGAUUGAGGGCGAAGCGAAGCGGCUGGUUACCAGGCAAAUCCGGUAACCAUAAGGCUAGAUCGUGACAGGUAAGCGAAAUCUUAGGAAAGUAGCGAAGCACAUGAUGACGGCUUCCAGGAAAAGCUUCUGGCAAUGCAUAUGCGGCCCGUACCAAAACCGACACAGGUGGGCAGGGAGAGAAUCCCGAGGUGAGCGAGAGAACUGUUGCCAAGGAACUCGGCAAAAUGACUCCGUAAGUUAGCGAGAAGGAGUGCUUAAGCAAUUAAGCCGCAGUGAAGAGGCCCAAGCGACUGUUUAACUAAAACACAGCUCUCUGCGAAGUCGCAAGACGAAGUAUAGGGGGUGACACCUGCCCGGUGCUGGAAGGUUAAGAGGAUCUGUUAAGAGCGAUCUGAAGCAGUGAUCCGAAGCCCCAGUGAACGGCGGCCGUAACAAUAACGGUCCUAAGGUAGCGAAAUUCCUUGUCAGGUAGGUCUGACCCGCACGAAAGGUGUAACGAUUUGGGCGCUGUCUCGGCAGCAGACUCGGUGAAAUCUUAGUACCUGUGAAAAUGCAGGUUACCCGCAACUAGACGGAAAGACACCAUGGAGCUUUACUGCAGCCUGAUAUUGAAUUCUGGUCAUACAUGUACAGGAUAGGUGGGAGACAAAGAGACGUGCACGCCAGUGUACGAGGAGUCGACGUUGGGAUACCACUCUUGUGUGACUGGGGUUCUAACCUGGUAUCGAGAACAGGAACGGGAGAGUGUCAGGUGGGCAGUUUGACUGGGGCGGUCGCCUCCCAAAGAGUAACGGAGGCGCCCAAAGGUACGCUCAGAUUGGAUGGGAACCAAUCGUCGAGUGCAAUUGCAGAAGCGUGCUUGACUGUGAGACAGACAAGUCGAACAGGGACGAAAGUCGGGAAUAGUGAUCCGGCGGUGCCGAAUGGAAGGGCCGUCGCUCAACGGAUAAAAGCUACCCUGGGGAUAACAGGCUGAUCUCGCCCAAGAGUUCACAUCGACGGCGAGGUUUGGCACCUCGAUGUCGGCUCAUCGCAUCCUGGAGCUGGAUUCGGUUCCAAGGGUUGGGCUGUCCGCCCAUUAAAGCGGUACGCGAGCUGGGUUCAGAACGUCGUGAGACAGUUCGGUCCCUAUCUGUUGUGGGCGAAGGAGAUCUGCGGAGAGCUGUCCUCAGUACGAGAGGACCGGGAUGGACCUACCGCUGGUGCACCGGUUGUUCCGCCAGGGGCAUAGCCGGGUAGCUAAGUAGGGAAAGGAUAAGCGCUGAAAGCAUCUAAGCACGAAGCCUACUCCAAGAUGAGAUCUCCCAUUCGCAAGAAGUAAGACCCCUUAAAGACGAUAAGGUAGAUAGGCCAGGGAUGGAAGUGCAGUGAUGUACGGAGUUGACUGGUACUAAUCGGUCGAGGACUUAAUCG
rnacentral:rRNA from 1 species